rnacentral:rRNA from 1 species
AUGGCUCUGAAUAUUCCCACUAAUGAAGACUGGCUUUUGGUUGGAGACUUUAAUUUUAUCCGAAGCCCAGAGAAUCGCAACAAGCCCGGUGGCAAUUACGGCGAUAUGAUUACUUUUAAUGACUUCAUCCGAGCACAAGCCUUAAUUGAACUGCCCAUUAAAGGUCGCGAAUACACCUGGAGUAACAUGCAAACUGAUCCAUUACUCGAGCAAAUUGAUUGGUUUUUCACUAGUAAUAAUUGGACGAGCUCCUACCCCAACACUGUGGUUAAACCCCUCGGGCGACCUGUUUCAGAUCACAUCCCAUGUGUGAUUACUAUUGAAACUUCCAUUCCACGAUCAAAAUUAUUCAGGUUUGAAUCCUUCUGGAUCCAACACCCAGGUUUUAUGGAAGUAGUUCAAAACGCUUGGGCCAGGCCUGUGCAAUCUCAGAAUAUGGCGAGUGUCUUAUGCAGAAAGUUUAAAACCCUGCGACAUGAUCUUAAAUAUUGGAGUAAAAAUAUCUCAAAACUGACCAUUGCCAUAGAAAAUUCAAACAGGGCCCUCUUGGAAAUUGAUGGGUUGGAGAAUAAAAGACAGCUAUCCACACCCGAAGCUAAUUUCAGGAAAAUACUAAAGGCUCAUCUCAUCAGACUACUUUCUUAUCAAAGGAUGUACUGGAAGAAACAGUGUACCAUUCGGUGGGUGCAAUUUGGUGACGAAAAUUCUAAAUUCUUUCAAGCUAUGGCCUCGGAGCGAUACAGAAGGAAUAACAUUGCAGCCCUGCAUACUGAAGAUGGUAUCUGUGUGGAGGAUCAUGCGGGCAAAGAAGCAAUACUCUUUCAAUCCUUCAAACAGAGACUUGGCAAUUCUUCUCAUAAAGAUAUGAAAUUUGAUCUUCCAAGUAUUAUCAAGAGAAUUGAAGGCCUAGAUACUUUGACUGUCCCUUUCACACAUGCUGAAAUAGAUCAUGUUAUUAAAUCGAUGCCACCGGAUCGUGCACCAGGACCAGAUGGCUUCAAUGGUGCGUUUCUCAAAGCUUCUUGGCCAAUCAUCAAAGAGGAUUUUUAUAAAUUGUGUAAUCAAUUCUUUGAUGGAAAUCUCAAUCUUGAAAGCAUCAACGACGGCUACAUCACUCUGAUCCCAAAAAACAAUGCGCCUAGCACCGUCAAUGAUUUCCGACCAAUCACCCUAUUGAACUGCUGA